rnacentral:rRNA from 1 species
GACGAACGCUGGCGGCGUGCUUAACACAUGCAAGUCGAACGGAAAGGCCCUGCUUUUGUGGGGUGCUCGAGUGGCGAACGGGUGAGUAACACGUGAGUAACCUGCCCUUGACUUUGGGAUAACUUCAGGAAACUGGGGCUAAUACCGGAUAGGAGCUCCUGCUGCAUGGUGGGGGUUGGAAAGUUUCGGCGGUUGGGGAUGGACUCGCGGCUUAUCAGCUUGGUGGUGGGGUAGUGGCUUACCAAGGCUUUGACGGGUAGCCGGCCUGAGAGGGUGACCGGCCACAUUGGGACUGAGAUACGGCCCAGACUCGUACGGGAGGCAGCAGUGGGGAAUAUUGCACAAUGGGCGGAAGCCUGAUGCAGCAACGCCGCGUGCGGGAUGACAGCCUUCGGGUUGUAAACCGCUUUCGCCUGUGACGAAGCGUGAGUGACGGUAAUGGGUAAAGAAGCACCGGCUAACUACGUG